AACGAACGCUGGCGGCAGGCUUAACACAUGCAAGUCGAACGCGCCCUUCGGGGCGAGUGGCAGACGGGUGAGUAACGCGUGGGAACCUACCUCAUAGUACGGAAUAACUCAGGGAAACUUGAGCUAAUACCGUAUGUGUCCUUCGGGAGAAAGAUUUAUCGCCAUGGGAUGGGCCCGCGUCGGAUUAGCUAGUUGGUGAGGUAAAGGCUCACCAAGGCGACGAUCAGUAGCUGGUCUGAGAGGAUGAUCAGCCACAUUGGGACUGAGACACGGCCCAAACUCCUACGGGAGGCAGCAGUGGGGAAUCUUGCGCAAUGGGCGAAAGCCUGACGCAGCCAUGCCGCGUGAAUGAUGAAGGUCUUAGGAUUGUAAAAUUCUUUCACCGGGGACGAUAAUGACGGUACCCGGAGAAGAAGCCCCGGCUAACUUCGUGCCAGCAGCCGCCGUAAUAC
rnacentral:rRNA from 1 species